UACGUAGGGUGCGAGCGUUGUCCGGAAUUAUUGGGCGUAAGAGCUUGUAGGCGGUUUGUCGCGUCUGCUGUGAAAAUCCGGGGCUCAACCCCGGACUUGCAGUGGGUACGGGCAGACUGGAGUGUGGUAGGGGAGACUGGAAUUCCUGGUGUAGCGGUGGAAUGCGCAGAUAUCAGGAGGAACACCGAUGGCGAAGGCAGGUCUCUGGGCCACUACUGACGCUGAGAAGCGAAAGCAUGGGGAGCGAACAGG
rnacentral:rRNA from 1 species